rnacentral:lncRNA from 1 species
AGUUCUUCAGGGCUGUCUCUGUGAUCCAGGCUUUGAUCUGGGAAAGGUUGCGCCUCAUUGCAGAGUUGAAGCUAUCUGCCUGCUUUGUUUACACGAACGCCCUUCCAGGACUCUGUCUGCUUUUGGGGUGGAAGUGCCCUGCCAAAAACUCCAGCUCUCCAUGCUGGCUGUGUGGCCAGCAUACCUCCUGCCUUUUCAACGAUUCCUCUGCCCUGGAUAGAGAGCGGUGUCUCAUAACAGUUUGGAAACUACAAAAGUUUCCCUGGCAGGAUGAAUGAUUGACUCGGCAACAUGUUCUUGCCUUUUGGAGUUGCCCUCCAAUUUUUCCAGGCUUGAUUCUGUAAAUCAUUUCAUCUUGUAAAAAUACUGGGCUGUGAGCACGGAUGAUCUCAAAGAUGAGGAAACAGAAGCUGGGAUAUGUGAGUAAACAUUUCCAAGGUCCUGCAGCUAAUCAAUGGUUGACAACUUCUUUCCUCUGCCUAUGUUGCCAUCCAUGUCAUGGUUUGUGUCAAGACUCUAGGAGAAGUCUACCAUCAGCACCACAGCUACUGUGCACAAAUCCAGAAUGCCAGACUGAAGUCAGAAGGAAAGAGAUGAUGCAGCUCAUUGCUGAUGCUGAGAUCCAACGUCCAGUGCCUGAGUACCCCUGGAUUCUGAGCACUAGGGGCUGGACUGUGGAGACCAUCAGUUCAUAACAUCCUGUCCCUGCUCCCUGCUGUAGAUGACUGAGACCAGAAAGAAGAUUGGAAAAAUCUCCCAUGACCAAGGAAAAUUGUGAAAAAUAUUUCUGAUAUUUUGUCUAUGCAUUUUAUUUUUGAGGGUGUUUUUUAUAUUAGUGUGACUAUUUUGUAUUUCCUACCCUGUUGUAAACUUUUUAAAAAUUGCUCUUACAGUUAUUACUAAGUAUAUGAUUUAAAAUCCCUAAUUAGGGUUCUUAAACAAGGGAGAAGCACUCUCAUACCCCUAGAACAAGAUGAACAAAAGAAGGAGGAAAAAUCUUGACCUCCGUAAGAUCCAGGAUGGCACGUGCAAGGCACUGACACAGCAUCUGCCGGCAUCACUGACUCUCCUGGACCCCAGAAGCCCAGUUCCCCAGGCUCUGAAACCCUGCAGCAAUGAAAAGGAAGCACAGGCAAACCAUAAGGAAGAUAAUUUUUCUACUAAAAAAUAAAUAGAAAUGCAUCCUUAGAGGCAGGUUUCAUGAGGACACAGAGAAUCCGGUUUUGUGUGUGCCUGAUUUCGUUUUUCUGUCAAAGAGAUACAAAACAAUCAACUGAGUUAUCUUGAACUUACAAAGAUUAAAAAUAAUCAAUUCCUGUUACUAUUUUCAAUUUUUCCCCCAUUUUACUUCUUUAGGUAUGAAGAAAUGUAGCCUAUUAAAACCUGGAUUAAUAAAAACCUUUCAUUAACUUUUAGAA